ACGCAAGAUUUUUCGCAUGCAUUUCUACCAUUAGCAAAGCCUGCAUUUCCGUCAUUCUUUCAGUACAUUUUACGAGUUCUCUUAUGCUUUACAGAUUGAACGGGUCUUGUCAGCAUGUAGCAGGCUUGCUAUAAAGCUUUCAAGAACCAGCGCAGAUAACUGAAGUAUCCCGUACAGAUUUGCCAUGCAAGUGGGUUGUGCCACCAGCUGCGAAGCAGCCAGACCCUCCAACAACGAUAAAGAGGACGAAGUUCAGACCCGACACUGUAUGUAGGCGUGAAUCUGCAAGAAGCAGGUUUUGUCCUGGUAACCACCGGCCACCUGUACACCACUCUAAAUUUGUGGAAGCCAUGGAGAAGGUUCAUCCAGAGUCCCUUACUCUGAGGCACAACAGGGUCCAUGAAGAGGAUGCAGUCUGUGUGUCACCAGACUUAAGCCGCCCAAAGUCUGAUGAUUUCGCUUAUAAUGACUGGAGACAAGUUAUUGGCCGAUAUUUUGAAGAUCCGAAAUGCUGCGUGAUGGCGGCCACUAUCUUGGAUUCUGCGCUUGGAUCGGAUUAGAUUUUUGUCUCUUCUAGAAUUCGGCUCCGUUGAAGCACCAGAAGGUGCACCCGUUGAACACAUGACGAACAGAUGAACACAUGACUCUCACGCAAUGCAACCGGAUGUUAUCAAACCUAGCUGCUAAACAUCGGUCGGCUACUGUAUAUGCAAUGGUAACACUGCAUUGUGAGGAAUUGCUCUCCUACAACUAGCGCCACCUAGCCCAUUUUAUCCGCUGGAACUAUCAGAAUGCCACGCCUGAUGUUUUUGUCAUGUUCUUGUCGCGAUACUUGUCUCGCGCCGAGCGCAGACAUGUGUGUUUCGGCGUCGUUCCUGCACGCGGACGCGGAUUGUCAGUGUGCCUGCUUUGAACUUUCCCCGACAUGUGAUGUACCUGAGUGAGUCUUCGGACUUGCAUUUUCGUUACUUGUUCGCGGUAAGAGGCUGCUCGAAUAAACCUUCAAGUUCUAAGCUACGCCUUUACGCCCUCCCAUCAACGCCCAACAUCUUACAA